rnacentral:rRNA from 1 species
UACGGAGGAUGCAAGCGUUAUCCGGAAUGAUUGGGCGUAAAGCGUCCGCAGGUGGCAUUUCAAGUCUGCUGUCAAAGCCCCCAGCUUAACUGGGAAGAGGCGGUGGAAACUGGAAAGCUAGAGAGCAAUAGGGGUAGAGGGAAUUCCCGGUGUAGCGGUGAAAUGCGUAGAGAUCGGGAAGAACACCAGUGGCGAAAGCGCUCUACUAGGUUGCAUCUGACACUCAUGGACGAAAGCUAGGGGAGCGAAUGGG